rnacentral:rRNA from 1 species
AGUGAACGCUGGCGGUAUGCCUAACACAUGCAAGUCGAACGGCAGCACAGUAAGAGCUUGCUCUUACGGGUGGCGAGUGGCGGACGGGUGAGGAAUACAUCGGAAUCUACUUUUUCGUGGGGGAUAACGUAGGGAAACUUACGCUAAUACCGCAUACGAUCUACGGGUGAAAGCAGGGGAUCUUCGGACUUUGCGCGAUUGAAUGAGCCGAUGUCGGAUUAGCUAGUUGGCGGGGUAAAGGCCCACCAAGGCGACGAUCCGUAGCUGGUCUGAGAGGAUGAUCGGCCACACUGGAACUGAGACACGGUCCAGACUCCUACGGGAGGCAGCAGUGGGGAAUAUUGGACAAUGGGCGAAAGCCUGAUCCAGCCAUACCGCGUGGGUGAAGAAGGUCUUCGGAUUGUAAAGCCCUUUUGUUGGGAAAGAAAAGCAGCAGAUUAAAACCCCGCCGUUCUGACGGUACCUAAAGAAUAAGCACCGGCUAACUUCGUG